UGUAACAUCAAAUUUACUGUGAGAAAUAUAUUUUCAUAUUAUAUAUAUUUUAUAUUGUAGAGCUCAAUAGAUUUUUCUUUAGACUUGGCCAUUUUUCUUAAGAAAAUCGUAGAACUACAAUUAUUUUGCAACAAGUAAAACUUGUAACAAGCCAAAGGACUUCAAGUACAUUUAGGAAAGGAGAAAAUAGCACACAUAAACUAUUUAUUCGUUCUUACACACUGAUGCGAGUAGGUAGGUAAAUACACACGACACGUCCACAUAUGACUCAUGACGGCUCAGCGGCACUUAUUUAUGGCUAACUCAGUAGCUAGCUCUACUACUAGUGCAUCAGUUCACGACUAGUGGCGCGUCGACGCGUCGGCCACCGAUCAGGCGGUCGCCGAGCCGCAUGAA
rnacentral:lncRNA from 1 species